rnacentral:lncRNA from 1 species
UCCAUCUUGCGCUCGGCCACCGUCAAUUGCGCGGCACUGUUCGGGAUGAAGGUCAGUUCGUACAUGUACGACACACGUACGACAUGACAUGGAUAUUUAGUAGUUCACUAUUGCGCAGUGAUGUGCAUAUGCUGUGAGCACGUCAUAGUGGGAGAGAGCGGGGUGGGGUAACGGCUGCAGUAAAAUUGCCGUAAAGGCCAAGCUGACUGACAUGAGUGAAAAAAUAUUGUGAAGAUAUAUAUCUUGGCUUUAAAUUCCUGAAAAGAAAAGGGUGACUUCGCAACUUGUUCAAUCGUGCAAUAAAUGAGGCGCGCGCUGUCCGGAGCAAUUAAUAUAUAUAACCCUAAUCGCAGUUCCACAAAAACGCUAGAGCCUGAACGAACGAGCCUCUCCUCCCCCAGAAACCCAAAUCGCCGUAAUAGCUCCGAAAAUAAAUAAAAAUUUCCUCCCAAAUGUUUGAGGGAUUUCAGGAACAGUAAUAUAAUAUCCGCAUAUAUGCGCAUGUGCACAUGCUCAUGCGUGCGGUGCCCUGCCGCCGCCGUGUCACACCUCAGAAACUGAGCCGACCUUCUGCUGCUGCGGCCCGGCCUGGAUCCGUUGGCUGACGUGGCGGUGUUGGCGGCUCCGGGGGGCGGUGCGGUGGCGGCGGUGUUCAAGGACGGACUACUGGCCACUGCUACGGGCUUGUGAGAAAGGAGGGGCCUGGAUGCACCUGGGUGCAGUGUAUUUUAUUUUUAUUGGCGCCCUUGCGAAAUAAUGUGACUGGCUGGGGCCGGUGGCGUUUGGAUGGUAUAUGUGUGCGCUGGACUUUGGGAUUAUGUUUUGUCCUCAGUAGUUUUUUUUUCUUUCGUGCUUCUGUGUGGGAGUAGAAUCACGUCCUGUUGCUUUUUCUGUGUUGGAUAAUGUGCGAGAGGGAUAUGAACUUUCUCAAAGGUUCCUUUUGGCUGUAGAUUCAAAUAGGUGUCGGCCGAGCGAGGAGUCGGGNNNNNNNNNNNNNNNNNNNNNNNNNNNNNNNNNNNNNNNNNNNNNNNNNNNNNNNNNNNNNNNNNNNNNNNNNNNNNNNNNNNNNNNNNNNNNAUCAUAGGUACGAUGGUGAAGUACGUGUGGCCACGGGGAAUGAGGUUGGUCUGGCUGGCCGUGUCCCGGUGUCGGUGCCCUNUAAUGCGCUACGUCUUCAAACCGGAGUGCGAGUGCUCUGUUCUGUGUUGCUACGCUGCAUGUGCGCUUAUUGGUUAGCUGUUCGAGCUCUAUUUGGCUAGAUAUGUUGUGCGGUGUGUUGGGAUAACAAAUGGCUGACAUAUCUUGACGUCCUGUGUGCAUGAGUGUGCGUGUGUAUGCGUGUGUAUGCGUGUAUAUGUGUGUGAGCGUGUGUGUAUGUGUAUAUGUGUAUGUAUGUGUGUGUGUGUAAAAGCGAACCCAUGUAUUGAACACAUAUGUAUGCGCGCGCGUGCAUUACCUUAGGCUGGCGAGUUCGAGCUACGAGCACGUGUGCUGCCAUCCGCCUCCAUCUUGCGCUCGGCCACCGUCAAUUGCGCGGCACUGUUCGGGAUGAAGGUCAGUUCGUACAUGUACGACACACGUACGACAUUACAUGGAUAUUUAGUAGUUCACUAUUGCGCAGUGAUGUGCAUAUGCUGUGAGCACGUCAUAGUGGGAGAGAGCGGGGUGGGGUAACGGCUGCAGUAAAAUUGCCGUAAAGGCCAAGCUGACUGACAUGAGUGAAAAAAUAUUGUGAAGAUAUAUAUCUUGGCUUUAAAUUCCUGAAAAGAAAAGGGUGACUUCGCAACUUGUUCAAUCGUGCAAUAAAUGAGGCGCGCGCUGUCCGGAGCAAUUAAUAUAUAUAACCCAAAUCGCAGUUCCACAAAAACGCUAGAGCCUGAACGAACGAGCCUCUCCUCCCCCAGAAACCCAAAUCGCCGUAAUAGCUCCGAAAAUAAAUAAAAAUUUCCUCCCAAAUGUUUGAGGGAUUUCAGGAACAGUAAUAUAUUAUCCGCAUAUAUGCGCAUGUGCACAUGCUCAUGCGUGCGGUGCCCUGCCGCCGCCGUGUCACGCCUCAGAAACUGAGCCGACCUUCUGCUGCUGCGGCCCGGCCUGGAUCCGUUGGCUGACGUGGCGGUGUUGGCGGCUCCGGGGGGCGGUGCGGUGGCGGCGGUGUUCAAGGACGGACUACUGGCCAAGGCGCCGCUGCCGCCACGGUCGCACCCGCGUGGUUGGGAUUGGGGGGAGAUGAACCAGCGCCUGUUCUCCACUGCUACGGGCUUGUGAGAAAGGAGGGGCCUGGAUGCACCUGGGUGCAGUGUAUUUUAUUUUUAUUGGCGCCCUUGCGAAAUAAUGUGACUGGCUGGGGCCGGUGGCGUUUGGAUGGUAUAUGUGUGCGCUGGACUUUGGGAUUAUGUUUUGUCCUCAGUAGUUUUUUUUUCUUUCGUGCUUCUGUGUGGGAGUAGAAUCACGUCCUGUUGCUUUUUCUGUGUUGGAUAAUGUGCGAGAGGGAUAUGAACUUUCUCGAAGGUUCCUUUUGGCUGUAGAUUCAAAUAGGUGUCG